CCACUUCGGUGGGGAUUAGUGGCGAACGGGUGAGUAACACGUGGGCAAUCUGCCCUGCACUCUGGGACAAGCCCUGGAAACGGGGUCUAAUACCGGAUACUGAUCCGCUUGGGCAUCUUGGCGGUUCGAAAGCUCCGGCGGUGCAGGAUGAGCCCGCGGCCUAUCAGCUAGUUGGUGAGGUAAUGGCUCACCAAGGCGACGACGGGUAGCCGGCCUGAGAGGGCGACCGGCCACACUGGGACUGAGACACGGCCCAGACUCCUACGGGAGGCAGCAGUGGGGAAUAUUGCACAAUGGGCGAAAGCCUGAUGCAGCGACGCCGCGUGAGGGAUGACGGCCUUCGGGUUGUAAACCUCUUUCAGCAGGGAAGAAGCGAAAGUGACGGUACCUGCAGAAGAAGCGCCGGCUAACUACGUGCCAGCAGCCGCGGUAAUACGUAGGGCGCGAGCGUUGUCCGGAAUUAUUGGGCGUAAAGAGCUCGUAGGCGGCUUGUCACGUCGGUUGUGA
rnacentral:rRNA from 1 species